GGUUGGGGUGAGGAACCAAACAAAAGUACUUUUGAAAGGCCACAUGGCAGGUGGAGAGAAAAAUCCCCAAGGACAAUAUUUUCCAUAUCCCUGAAUCCAAGUUUGAAAUAAAAAGCUAUCCAAUAACCUCCACUUUUCUUCAUACAGAAGAAGAGAAGAAGAAGAUCAUCAAAAACUCAGAAGAAGAAGAAGAAGAAGAAACCAAUGGUUUGAAGAACAAGAAAUUUUUGGAAUGGAGAGCCAAAGAGUACUUGAAGAAACUUGUUCUGUUUAUGGAAUCAACAACAAUAUUAAUCUUUCUUCAACUUUGAUCAAUAAUCAUGAUGGGCAAUCUUUUGACUUUGGAGAAUUGGAACAAGCAAUUGUGCUACAAGGACUCGGCGCGAUGAAUAAACUCGAUCAUUACGAACCUAAACAAAGCUUUUUGUCAGGGAAGCCUGCAGCAACACUGGAAAUGUUCCCUUCUUGGCCAAUCAAAUACCAACAAACUUCAAGAGGAGUUAGUUUGAGAAAAAGAGAAGAGAUGCUGAGAGGAUCAGGUAAUUACAAUAACAGUAACGAAGAAAAGGAAAUGGAAAUAUUGGGUAAAGAUGAAGAGGAUGAAGAAGAAAGUGAAAUGAGUAAUUGUUCAGCUCCUCAACAACAACAACAACAACAUGAACAUAACUAUAACACCUCCUGCUUUAAUAUUAUUAACAAUAUUCAACCUCAUCAAGUUCUUAUGGUCAGUACUGAUGUUUCAACAACUGCACUUUCAUCUCAACAUCAGUACUCUCUUCAACAAAAGAGAAAAGGAUGUGGUUCAAUUUCAACAUCACAGAAACAACUUGACGCUAAGACAUUGAGACGUUUAGCUCAAAACAGAGAGGCAGCGAGGAAGAGUCGACUAAGGAAGAAGGCUUACGUACAGCAACUUGAGAGUAGUAGAAUUAAGCUUACACAGCUUGAACAAGACUUUCAACGUGCACGUUCUCAGGGUAUUGGCGGCGGCAAUGGCAAUGGCAAUGUCAACCAUGGGAGUGGUGCAUUGUGGUUUGAUAUGGAAUAUGUGAGGUGGUUGGAAGAGGAGCAUCGACACACAAUGGAGUUGCGUGGGGGCUUAGAGGCACAUUUAUCGGACACAGAGUUGAAAGUGAGGGUUGAUGCGUGCAUUUAUCAUUACGAUCAAUUUUUUCGAUUGAAAAGCGAGGCUGCUAAGUUUGACAUCUUCCAUCUCAUCACUGGGAUGUGGAUGUCUCCUGCUGAGCGUUGUUUCCUUUGGAUUGGUGGAUUUCGACCAUCUGAUCUCAUCAAGAUGUUAAUGUCACAAUUGGAUCCAAUAACAGAACAACAAGUGAUGGAAAUUUAUAAACUACAAAAUUCCUCACAACAGGCUGAAGAUGCUUUAUCUCAAGGCCUUGAUCAGCUCCAUCAGUCUUUGAUCGACACCGUCGCCGGCAGUCCGAUUGUCGAUGGAGGAAUCAACCACAUGGUUUUGGCCAUGGACAAGCUCUCUAGUCUCCAUGGCUUUCUCCAUCAGAUAUUUUAAGACAACAAACGCUUCAUCAACUACGUAGGAUACUUACGAUCCGACAAGCAGCCAAAUGUUUUCUAGUCAUUGGUGAAUAUUACAGUAGAUUACGAGCUCUAAGCUCCCUAUGGUCCUCUCGUCCAAAAGAGGGUAUUGAAGACAAUUCAUGCCAAACAAGUACACAUCAGCAAGUGCAUAUGGUUCAACCUUCACACCAUUACUUCUCAACCUUCAAUUAAUCAAACUCAUUAAUGGAAGUCUCUAAUUGUUACCCUUUGUUGUUCUUCUCAAUCAUUGAGGGAUUUAUAUUACUAUUAUCACCUAUUAACUUUUACUACUUUUACUUUAUUAGUGUUA